AGAGUUUGAUCAUGGCUCAGAUUGAACGCUGGCGGCAUGCCUUACACAUGCAAGUCGAACGGCAGCGCGGGGCAACCUGGCGGCGAGUGGCGAACGGGUGAGUAAUAUAUCGGAACGUACCCUGGAGUGGGGGAUAACGUAGCGAAAGUUACGCUAAUACCGCAUACGAUCUAAGGAUGAAAGCAGGGGACCGCAAGGCCUUGUGCUCCUGGAGCGGCCGAUAUCUGAUUAGCUAGUUGGUGGGGUAAAGGCCCACCAAGGCAUCGAUCAGUAGCUGGUCUGAGAGGACGACCAGCCACACUGGAACUGAGACACGGUCCAGACUCCUACGGGAGGCAGCAGUGGGGAAUUUUGGACAAUGGGCGCAAGCCUGAUCCAGCAAUGCCGCGUGAGUGAAGAAGGCCUUCGGGCUGUAAAGCUCUUUUGUCAGGGAAGAAACGGCCUGUUCUAAUACAGUGGGCUAAUGACGGUACCUGAAGAAUAAGCACCGGCUAACUACGUGCCAGCAGCCGCGGUAAUACGUAGGGUGCAAGCGUUAAUCGGAAUUACUGGGCGUAAAGCGUGCGCAGGCGGUUUUGUAAGUCUGCCGUGAAAUCCCCGGGCUCAACCUGGGAAUGGCGAUGGAGACUGCAAGGCUAGAGUUUGGCAGAGGGGGGUAGAAUUCCACGUGUAGCAGUGAAAUGCGUAGAUAUGUGGAGGAACACCGAUGGCGAAGGCAGCCCCCUGGGUCAAAACUGACGCUCAUGCACGAAAGCGUGGGGAGCAAACAGGAUUAGAUACCCUGGUAGUCCACGCCCUAAACGAUGUCUACUAGUUGUCGGGUCUUAAUUGACUUGGUAACGCAGCUAACGCGUGAAGUAGACCGCCUGGGGAGUACGGUCGCAAGAUUAAAACUCAAAGGAAUUGACGGGGACCCGCACAAGCGGUGGAUGAUGUGGAUUAAUUCGAUGCAACGCGAAAAACCUUACCUACCCUUGACAUGGAAGGAAUCCCGGAGAGAUUUGGGAGUGCCCGAAAGGGAACCUUUACACAGGUGCUGCAUGGCUGUCGUCAGCUCGUGUCGUGAGAUGUUGGGUUAAGUCCCGCAACGAGCGCAACCCUUGUCAUUAGUUGCUACGAAAGAGCACUCUAAUGAGACUGCCGGUGACAAACCGGAGGAAGGUGGGGAUGACGUCAAGUCCUCAUGGCCCUUAUGGGUAGGGCUUCACACGUCAUACAAUGGUACAUACAGAGGGCCGCCAACCCGCGAGGGGGAGCUAAUCCCAGAAAGUGUAUCGUAGUCCGGAUUGUAGUCUGCAACUCGACUGCAUGAAGUUGGAAUCGCUAGUAAUCGCGGAUCAGCAUGUCGCGGUGAAUACGUUCCCGGGUCUUGUACACACCGCCCGUCACACCAUGGGAGCGGGUUUUACCAGAAGUAGGUAGCUUAACCGCAAGGAGGGCGCUUACCACGGUAGGAUUCGUGACUGGGGUGAAGUCGUAACAAGGUA
rnacentral:rRNA from 1 species